CAACUUUUGACGGUGGAUCUCUUGGCUCACGCAUCGAUGAAGAACGCAGCCAGCUGCGAUAAGUAGUGUGAAUUGCAGAAUUCAGUGAAUCAUCGAAUCUUUGAACGCAAAUGGCGCUCUUGGGUUCU
rnacentral:rRNA from 1 species